rnacentral:misc_RNA from 1 species
UUUCCGUAAGUGAACCUGCGGAAGGAUCAUUCAUAAUAAAGUGUUUUAUGGCACUUUUUAAAAAUCCAUAUCCACCUUGUGUGCAAUGUUAGAUCUCGUCAAUCUUGGCGAGAUUUUUAUACAUCAACUCAUUCUUUAACUAAUUUGUCUGAAAAAUAUUAUGAAUACUUAAUUCAAAAUAUAACUUUCAACAACGGAUCUCUUGGCUCUC